rnacentral:rRNA from 1 species
CGCUGGCGGCGUGCCUAAUACAUGCAAGUCGAACGAAACUUCUUUAUCACCGAGUGCUUGCACUCACCGAUAAAGAGUUGAGUGGCGAACGGGUGAGUAACACGUGGGCAACCUGCCCAAAAGAGGGGGAUAACACUUGGAAACAGGUGCUAAUACCGCAUAACCAUAGUUACCGCAUGAUAACUAUGUAAAAGGUGGCUAUGCUACCGCUUUUGGAUGGGCCCGCGGCGCAUUAGCUAGUUGGUGGGGUAAAGGCUUACCAAGGCAAUGAUGCGUAGCCGAACUGAGAGGUUGAUCGGCCACAUUGGGACUGAGACACGGCCCAAACUCCUACGGGAGGCAGCAGUAGGGAAUCUUCCACAAUGGGCGAAAGCCUGAUGGAGCAACGCCGCGUGGGUGAAGAAGGUCUUCGGAUCGUAAAACCCUGUUGUUAGAGAAGAAAGUGCGUGAGAGUAACUGUUCACGUUUCGACGGUAUCUAACCAGAAAGCCACGGCUAACUACGUGCCAGCAGCCGCGGUAAUACGUAGGUGGCAAGCGUUAUCCGGAUUUAUUGGGCGUAAAGGGAACGCAGGCGGUCUUUUAAGUCUGAUGUGAAAGCCUUCGGCUUAACCGGAGUAGUGCAUUGGAAACUGGGAGACUUGAGUGCAGAAGAGGAGAGUGGAACUCCAUGUGUAGCGGUGAAAUGCGUAGAUAUAUGGAAGACACCAGUGGCG